UACGUAGGGACCGAGCGUUGUCCGGAAUCAUUGGGCGUAAAGAGCGUGUAGGCGGCUUGCUAAGUCUUGCGUGAAAUCUCGGGGCUCAACCCCGAGCGGUCGUGGGAAACUGGCAGGCUAGAGUGCGGGAGAGGAGAAUGGAAUUCCUGGUGUAGCGGUGAAAUGCGCAGAUAUCAGGAGGAACACCGGUGGCGAAGGCGGUUCUCUGGGCCUUACCUGACGCUGAGGCGCGAAAGCUAGGGGAGCGAACGGG
rnacentral:rRNA from 1 species